CCUCUCCUCUCGCUCCAGUGCGCAGGGAGGAGUGUGUGUGGGGAACAGCAGGACCGGCAGCUCGUGUGUGUCCCGCCCGGAGCGAUGCACAUGCCGGCCCAGCGGCGGACCAGUCCACACACACACCACAGACCCGCUCAUGCUUCUGCCAGCAGUCGUCAGUGUGUCCGGCACACGGCCUCCAGGGGGCAGUCCAGCUGUUCAUGCAUUUAAACUUCACUCACACCAAACAUCAUGAUCUGAGGUCAUGUGACUUCAUCUGUGAGACCUUGUGGGAAACUCGCAUCACUGCAAAAUACUGAAAGAAAUGGACCACACAGCUGUUUUUAAUUGAAAGAGAACAGAACGAGAGCACAGGCCAUGAUGAAGCGCUGCUGAAAGGCAUGCUGGGUAAUAGUGACAUGUCACUGAGGCACAUCUGCAACAGGUUGAAGAAAACGCAGCCGAAGCCAAGACUGAUUAUGUGUAACUCUGAGUGGAGAGACCCGAGAAUAUCACAGAGAUCGCCUAGCAACCACUCAGAAUACCCAACUGCAUAGCAACGCCCUGGCAACCGCCCACAAAACUCUAUC